GCCGCGGUAUUUUGACCGUGCAAAGGUAGCGUAAUCAUUUGUCUUUUAAAUGAAGACCUGUAUGAAUGGCUAGACGAGGGCUUAACUGUCUCCUUUUUCAAGUCAAUGAAAUUGAUCUCCCCGUGCAAAAGCGGGGAUAUGCCCAUAAGACGAGAAGACCCUAUGGAGCUUUAGAUGCCACAGCAAGCAUAGCUGCUACAUCCAAAUAAAGGAUGUAUCCACUAGCUUCUGCCUCAACAUCUUCGGUUGGGGUGACCAUGGGGAACGAAAAACCCCCACGUCUCUGUACUGGAGUCUCUAUUAAACCUAACAAACUCUUUCAAACAAGAGCCGCCGCUCUACUUAACAGAAUUUCUGACCAUUGAUCCGGCAAUGCCGAUUAACGAACCCAGUUACCCUAGGGAUAACAGCGCAAUCCCCUUCUAGAGUCCAUAUCGAUAAGGGGGCUUACGACCUCGAUGUUGG
rnacentral:rRNA from 1 species